ACUCAUGCAGGUCUCUGGUCCACUCCACUGAUUUGAUGAGUGUUUCACCUGCCUGCCCAGUCAAGUCAACAAGUCAGGUCUGUACCACAGGAAAAAGAAAACCAUCACCGAGGCAUCGGCCUCCCACCACCCUGACAGCAGCGCGGAGGUCUCACUGAAGUGGAAACUCGCCGCGGAGCCCGUUCAAUCGGGCGGAGGAAGGAAGGAAAAGCUAAGAAAAGGGGCACAUCUCCGCUUCUCAAAGGUUGUAGGCAAGACCCUCCACCAGCAAAAAGAUUACGACUUGCUUUAUUGUGCUACUACAUGGUGGUCUGGAACCCAACCUGCAA